GAUGAAGAACGUAGCGAAAUGCGAUACUUGGUGUGAAUUGCAGAAUCCCGUGAACCAUCGAGUCUUUGAACGCAAGUUGCGCCCGAAGCCAUUAGGCCGAGGGCACGCCUGCCUGGGCGUCACACGUCGUUGCCCCCCCAUCUACUCCUUCGGGAUUGCGGGGGGCGGAUGAUGGCCUCCCGUGCGCCUCGCCGCGCGGUUGGCAUAAAUGCCAAGUCCUCGGCGACGCACGCCACGACAAUCGGUGGUUGCGAAACCUCGGUUGCCCGUCGUGUGCGGUCGUCGCGCAUCGAGGGCUCGAAAAAAUUGCCGGGUUCCGGCUCGGCUUUCAACGCGACCCCAGGUCAGGCGGGGUUACCCGCUGAAUUUAAGAAUAUCAAUAAGCGGAGGA
rnacentral:misc_RNA from 1 species